rnacentral:tRNA from 1 species
GCGGGAGUACGAUAGCGGUCUACUCGGGCGGGCUUAGGACCCGCUGGCUUAGUGCCUUCGCAGGUUCGAAUCCUGCCUCCCGCA